rnacentral:lncRNA from 1 species
CGCGGUCCCCAGUGAGAGGCGACCAAGGGGCAGGCGAGGGUUCGCAGAGAUGCACGUGAUACCUGCUGAACACAUUACUCGGUAAUGACGUCAUUCAAAGCCCUAAAUAUUUAAUAAACUUGUUUCUCCCCCCCGCUACCUAAAAACAUACUUCCCACGAAUGUGGCUGCUUCGAGACGGCUGUGUCAGCACGACAGAGGCCGGCUCACACCGAUGCCUCCAUCCUCCCGCUGCCCGGGUCAGCUCGAGACGCCCCAUCACCUAAUUAGCAGCCCUCAGCAGGAGCUUAAGCAGGACAGACGGGACGAUCUCACGCGACAGGAAGUCUGCAGCCUCAUGAGAUGCGACAAAAUGAACUCGUCCUGUUUCCCGCUAUCCCUGGAAACUAUGCAGUGGGGACGACAGCUCCCUCCUCCUCGACGGAAACUCUGCAGACCUCUGAGUCUUGUCCUUGUCCUUAGGGAACAGUCUAAAGUCUCCUGCAACAGCAGACAGCAUGACAGUUUGGGGAGUUAAAAUGAUCCAAGACUAGGAGUUCCCUGGUGGCUCAUCAAGCUCAGUAGUCUAUUACCAGGCGUGGAAAGCAGCUGAACUGUUUCUCCAGGCUGAGCUGGCUUCGUGGCUUCGUGACUCUCCUGGCAUGAUAAAGUCAAAGCUGGUAAUUUUUUUUUUUUUUUUUUUUUUUUUUUUUUGUCUUUUUAGGACUGCACCCACAGCAUAUGGAAGUUCCCAGGCUAGGGGUUGAAUUAGAGCUGUAGCCACUGGCCUACACCACAGCCACACCGGAUCCUUAACUGACAGAGUGAGGCCAGGGUUGGAACCUACAUCCUCAUGGACACUAGUCAGAUUCGUUUCUGCUGAGCCACGAUGGGAACUCCCAAAGCUGGUCAUUUACAAUAGUAAAAAAUUAGAAAUGUCCAACCACGGGAGAGUCAACAAAUGAAACAUGCAUGUGAUGG